GGAGCGAUGGUGUAGUUGGUUAUCACGUCUGUCUAACACACAGACGGUCCUCAGUUCGAACCUGGGUCGCUUCA
rnacentral:tRNA from 2 species